AGUUUUUGAUGAGGGCUUUUUCUUAAUAAUUCCUUGAAUCUCUCCCACACCUGAUACAAGGAUUCGUCAUGCAAUUGUUGGAAGGUAAUGAUCUCUUUCCUCAACUU
rfam:Gossypium raimondii Chr01_contig_738, whole genome shotgun sequence.